rnacentral:rRNA from 1 species
UACGUAGGGUCCAAGCGUUGUCCGGAUUUAUUGGGCGUAAAGAGCUCGUAGGCGGUUCGGUAAGUCGGAUGUGAAAACUCAGGGCUCAACCCGGAGACGCCAUCCGAUACUGCUGUGACUUGAGUCUGGUAGGGGAACACGGAAUACCUGGUGUAGCGGUGAAAUGCGCAGAUAUCAGGUGGAACACCGAUGGCGAAGGCGGGUCUCUGGGCCGAUACUGACGCUGAGGAGCGAAAGCGUGGGGAGCGAACAGG